AAGAGUAGUAGGGGGGC
rnacentral:tRNA from 1 species